AGUGAACGCUGGCGGCGUGCUUAACACAUGCAAGUCGAACGAGAACGGAAUAUAGCUUGCUAUAUUUGUCAGCUAAGUGGCGCACGGGUGAGUAAUGUAUAGAUAACCCGCCCUUAAGAAAGGAAUAACAGUUGGAAACGACUGCUAAUGCCCUAUAUGCCUUUAAUACAUAAGUAUGCAAGGGAAACGCUUUAGUGCUUAAGGAUGGGUCUGUAUGGUAUCAGCUUGUUGGUGAGGUAAUGACUCACCAAGGCUAUGACGCCUAACUGGUUUGAGAGGAUGAUCAGCCACACUGGAACUGAGACACGGUCCAGACUCCUACGGGAGGCAGCAGUGGGGAAUAUUGCACAAUGGACGAAAGUCUGAUGCAGCAACGCCGCGUGGAGGAUGACACAUUUCGGUGCGUAAACUCCUUUUAUAUAGGAAGAUAAUGACGGUACUAUAUGAAUAAGCACCGGCUAACUCCGUGCCAGCAGCCGCGGUAA
rnacentral:rRNA from 1 species